rnacentral:misc_RNA from 1 species
AUAAAUCUAGAAGGUCUUCAAGACCUCUCUAACAUCUUGUGAAUUGUUUGUGUCUCUGGUGUGUUGAUUGUAUAGGCUCUUGGGCAGAUACCACGCACACCGGGUUAAACUUUGUAUAAAUUAUAGCCUAAAAAAUCUAAAAAAGUAAUUAAAA